GAUGAACGCUAGCUACAGGCUUAACACAUGCAAGUCGAGGGGAAACGACAUCGAAAGCUUGCUUUUGAUGGGCGUCGACCGGCGCACGGGUGGGUAACGCGUAUCCAACCUGCCCAUCACUUGGGAAUAACCUUGCGAAAGUAAGACUAAUACCCAAUGACAUCCCACGAAGACAUCUGAAUGGGAUUAAAGAUUUAUCGGUGAUGGAUGGGGAUGCGUCUGAUUAGCUUGUUGGCGGGGUAACGGCCCACCAAGGCAACGAUCAGUAGGGGUUCUGAGAGGAAGGUCCCCCACAUGGGAACUGAGACCCGGGCCAAACACCUACGGGAGGCAGCAGUGAGGAAUAUUGGUCAAUGGGCGAGAGCCUGAACCAGCCAAGUAGCGUGCAGGAUGACGGCGCUAUGGGUGGUAAACUGCUUUUAUAAGGGAAUAAAGUGGGUCUCGUGAGACUUUUUGCAUGUACCUUAUGAAUAAGGACCGGCUAAUUCCGUG
rnacentral:rRNA from 1 species